UCCUCCCUCCUCCUCCUCCUCCUCCUCCUCCUUCCUCUCUUCUAUCUUCUCGUAAUUCUGCUUGAUCACUGACUGCUAUCUAGCUCUCAUCCUCCCUGUAGUGACAUGCUCUGAUGCGGCCCACUGGUUUCCCACUCCCUGGACCCAUUCUUUUUUUAAUUAAAAGACUUUGUUUCCUUUUUGUUUUUGUGGUGGGGGUGCAAGAACACUACAUAAGGCAUGCUGGGUACUUUUCCUCUGCAGCUUUUCCUCCCCUCUCACUCGACUCGUAGCCACACUGAUGUUUUGUUAUCGCAACAUGUGAAUGACAUGUGGGCACCGGAGGGCUCGGAGAGGAACGCAGUGGAAGGAUGAUGCAUGGCAGAUUGCCGUCUUUAUUUCACCCCUUUUCCUUAGAGUAGAAACCCUUCUGUGUUCCCCUCUCUCCCCACGGUGCUAAGUGGUUGUGACAAGCUUCUGGCUCUGCAACAGCCGCAUGCUGGGAAUCACGGCGCAUGUUCACAAGUCUGGAUUCUUUAGGUGCGUUCACAUCGGACACGAAGCGAAGGUUUUGAGCGUCGCGAUUACAUGUCAAGUCAAUGCAGGGACGCGGAUAGAGAUGCAAAUUCCUUCCGGGCAGCGCUAACGAAGCAAUCAUUUGUUCAUCAUUCAGCUUCAUUCAAAUGAAAUAAAGCCAAUUAGUGGAGAGAAUCUCUCCCUGCUGUCGCUGACGUUGUUGAAUCAGAAAAAUAAAACAGCAGUCGUGUAUCUGUGUUUAUAAAUCUACAAACCACAGACUGUCUAUGGUCGAAUACAGUCGCUUCUAUUUUGAGUCUGUACGGAGUAGCCACAUGUUAGCUUAGCCUAGCCUGAUCGAACCAAUCCGAGUUUUUCGCCUAUCUUUUUGAUACUAUUAUUACAAUUAAAUCGAUUCAAAUUAUGUUCAUUUUGUUGUAAUAUUAUGUAUUUAUUUCAACAAGGACCAUGCAUACAAAUACAUUAAUCUCAAAAAACAGAAGAGAGGAAUUAUGCCAGAUUAUAGCUAAUGGCUCAUUUCCAUCUGCAGUCCUUAGGUAGGUACUGUUGUUGAUCAAUCAAUCAAUCAAUGUUUAUUUAUAUAGCCCAAUAUCACAAAUGUUACAUUUGUCUCAGUGGACUUUACAGUUUGUACAAAAUAUCAGUAUGACAAUACGAUGAUGGGACAAUACGAUGAUUGAUGAGAUCUACAUGUAGAUAAGCCCCGCCUCCACGCCAGCGCAUUUUGUUUGAGUGACACGAGUAAACACAACUGAAAGCCGCCAAUCUCCGUUUAGCGUCCGGUGUGAACGCACCAAGCAGAUUUUUUCCGUAUGUAGAAUCCAUGUAUGUUAAGGUUUCCUAAACAUUGUUUGUUUACUGAAGCAUGUGAGUUUUUUGGGGGUGUCAAUCAGCCAGUUUUGGAUCUGUGACCAACGUCGCUAUAAGCCAGGAUUUUUGCAUGGGCUUACUGUGGUGAUUUCAACGUUGUGUGUGUGUGUGUGUGUGUGUGUGUGUGUGUGUGUGUGUGUGUGUGUGUGUGUGUGUGUGUGUGUGUGUGUGUGUGUGUGUGUGUGUGUGUGUUUAUGUGUGCAGACAGCACUCUCAUUCCUCAGUCCUUCUUUCUCUCACACACACUCCCCUCAUCGACCCAAAAAGGUCAUUAAUCUCUCGCCACACUCAGAUGUAGAGCGUUGAACACCGCGACAGUAUGGCUUUUUACACAGAGCUACAAUCUCCUUCUCUUAAAACCCAUCAAAGGAAGAUCAAGGGAGCCUUUGAAGCUCAGAGAGGAGAUUAUCAGCCAUCUUGGAUUGAAAGCCCGAGCAUUAGGACUGAAAUGUCAGGCGUAGAAGACGCACACGCACCUAAAAAAAGGAUAAAACACCUGAGCAUGCAAAAUAAUAAAAGUACAAGCGGCGUUUCUUUUGCUGCAAUUUACGGCCGCAAUAUAACCAAAGUCCCCCAUGGCCACAUUAAUAUCUGCCCACAAUGAAUCAUCAAAUCUCUGAUGGGCAACUCGCUUCUUAAUUGCGAUGAGGACUGAAAUCCCCCCUAACAGCCUAACCCCCGACCCACUUUAACACACAAACACAGACAAACAAACGAGCUAGCAGCCAUCUUAGAUGUUACAUGUGUCUUUUUUUUAAAUGUCAUAUUCUGCUUUAUAGGUUUAUAUAGGAACAGGCAUAUCACACAACUGAUGGGGGAAAUUAGGGUUUUGUGAGAGUUUUUUUAGAACAAAAUAAAAAAACUAAAAUGUAUUUAAAACAAAAAAAUGAAAUGUGCAAUAAUAUAGAAUAAAAUAAUAAAAUGGACCAAAAUAAUAUAUAAAUUAAAACAUAAGAAAUUAAAAUGUAACUACUAUAAAUGAUCAAAUCAAAUACAUUAACUAUAUAUUUAAAAAAAUAAGAGCAAAGUAAAAAUGUUCAGUAAAAUGUGGAAUAAACAAAAAAUAUGAUAAUAAUAUUUAUUUAAACAUAAGAAGUU